UGGGGAAUAUUGGACAAUGGGCGAAAGCCUGAUCCAGCCAUGCCGCGUGUGUGAAGAAGGUCUUCGGAUUGUAAAGCACUUUAAGUUGGGAGGAAGGGCAUUAACCUAAUACGUUAGUGUUUUGACGUUACCGACAGAAUAAGCACCGGCUAACUCUGUGCCAGCAGCCGCGGUAAUACAGAGGGUGCAAGCGUUAAUCGGAAUUACUGGGCGUAAAGCCCGCGUAGGUGGUUUGUUAAGUUGGAUGUGAAAUCCCCGGGCUCAACCUGGGAACUGCAUUCAAAACUGACUGACUAGAGUAUGGUAGAGGGUGGUGGAAUUUCCUGUGUAGCGGUGAAAUGCGUAGAUAUAGGAAGGAACACCAGUGGCGAAGGCGACCACCUGGACUAAUACUGACACUGAGGUGCGAAAGCGUGGGGAGCAAACA
rnacentral:rRNA from 1 species